rnacentral:lncRNA from 1 species
GGCAGGGGGUGCAAAGCCCCGCCUGGGAGGAGAAUCAAAAGGCCUGUGUUUUGUUUCCUUUUGUUUUGUUCGAAGGCCCGAAACUUCCUAAUUUCCUUUCUACCACUCCCUCCUCCUCCACUGCCUCCUCCAAGGCUGCUCCCAAGUCACACCUAAAACCAACGUGGAGAGCAAUUAAACACACACCAAAAAACCCUCAACCCAUACGCGGUGGCGCUCUGAAUCGGCUGCCUAAAGAGGAGGGAAGGCCGCAUCCUAAAAUCAUUUGGAGGGACUAG